UAUCACUUUAAUUCUGUAACAAAAAAAAUCAUUAAAUAAGUAUGGUGUAGUCUUAGUUAUUACUGUAAAUGAGUAUAAAAGAAUAUGUUAAGUAAUCACAAAAUCUAAAGCAUUUGUGCAUAGCUAUGCUCAGUCUUCUUAAAUAUGUUUCCUUCUGGACAUAUUAUCUAAAAUUUAAAAAUAUAAAGAACCUGCUUACAAAAGCACAUUUUUUUUUACUGCUGUCUACAGUAAAAAAGGUUUGUCUACCUUUUUUACUGCUGGGAUUUAAAAAUGUUUAAUCUUAAGGCAGAACUAAAACAUUGCAAAAAGGAUUAAUUUUAUCUGACAAGCAUUUCCAUGUUUUGCUUUCCAAAACAGGAUUUAAGCUCUAUGGAAACUAUCGUGGCACCCCUGGUUUAUUUCCUCCUGGUACUUUCUUUUAAAAUGGCACACACGGACAACCAGAAUGUAACCUUCACAACUCCUCCAAACCUUGGCUUAAACCUGACAGAAUUCACUGUAGCAUCAACUUCAUUUAACUCUACUGUAACUCCAACUACUCUCUUAACCUCAACCAAGGACACAGCCGAAUAUACCAGCACAAAUCAUGGCAAUAAUACCUUCUCUACUACAGUGGCUGCAACUGAAAACACAAGUCAACAUCAAACCUCUCAGUCAGCUACAUUGACUUCGCCAACAGGCAAUGGAUCACUAAACACCACUACACCAACCGCACAAUCACCUGCGCUUACAAUAACCACACAAACCAUCCAGACUACAACACAUUUGAAUACUACAUCUGAUACAACACUAGGUUCAACUGUAAACUCAUCUCACAGCAUGACUACAUCUACAGUUUCAGCAAAUGCUACAGAAGGUUUGAGACUUAACAUAUCAGAGAGAAAUAUGACAAUAAUCUUCAGCGGCAUGCUUGGGCUCUUUGCUUUGACAAUAGUUAUGAUCAUGUUUCACAAAUGCAAACAUAAAUUCCAGUACUUGCAUCAACGUCUUGACACCACAGAUGGCACAGAUGGAUUUGUGCUUGAUGAUGACACCCUUGUUAUUUCUGGAGGACUUUAUGAUGCCCAUCCAAUCUACGACAAUGUGCCACCCACUCCUGCAGAACCGUCACAAUUUCGCCUUGAUUUCCUUCACUAAAGAGAGACCUCUAUGCUAAAUCACAGUGGUAACCCACUAAUAUGGACAUGGACAGAAUCCCAUUUCUCCUCCAUGAAUCAGUGUUAUUUCAGGACUAAAAAUAACCAGUGGAAUUAAAUUAUUUACCAACAGGAAAUAAUACUGGAAGUAAUAAUGAAUAACAAUGACUGAUGUAACUAUAAUGAAUUAAAUAAUUUUAUUAGUUUGUGGAAAUGACCAAACAAAUAUAUUCACAUAACAACACCUUUACCAAAUUAACAAUAAAGAUUUAUGUAGAACGAACUAAGGGAAUUGCUAACAGUUUUAAGCAUAACGUUUUUCCAAACAACAGUAUUAUGGAAAAAAAAAAAUUUUUCACAAGAACUU